rnacentral:rRNA from 1 species
GCCAGACUCCUACGGGAGGCAGCAGUGGGGAAUAUUGCACAAUGGGGGGAACCCUGAUGCAGCGACGCCGCGUGGGUGAAGGAGCACCUCGGUGCGUAAAGCCCUAUCGGCAGGGAAGAAAAGCGAACAGGUUCGCCUGGACGGUACCUGACUAAGAAGCCCCGGCUAACUACGUGCCAGCAGCCGCGGGAAUACGUAGGGGGCAAGCGUUAUCCGGAUUCACUGGGUGUAAAGGGAGCGUAGACGGCGACGCAAGUCUGGAGGGAAAGCCCGGGGCCCAACCCCGGGACUGCUCUGGAACCUGCGUCGCUGGAGUGCGGGAGGGGCAGGCGGAAUUCCUGGUGUAGCGGUGAAGUGCGUAGAUAUCAGGAGGAACACCGGUGGCGAAGGCGGCCUGCUGGACUGCAACUGACGUUGAGGCCCGAAAGCGCGGGGAGCAAACAGGAUUAGAUACCCGCGUAUA